rnacentral:rRNA from 1 species
CCUACGGGGGGCAGCAGUGAGGAAUAUUGGUCAAUGGGCGCGAGCCUGAACCAGCCAAGUAGCGUGAAGGAUGACUGCCCUACGGGUUGUAAACUUCUUUUAUAAAGGAAUAAAGUGAUGCACGUGUGCCUUUCUGUAGGUACUUUAUGAAUAAGGAUCGGCUAACUCCGUGCCAGCAGCCGCGGUAAUACGGAGGAUCCGAGCGUUAUCCGGAUUUAUUGGGUUUAAAGGGAGCGUAGAUGGGUCGUUAAGUCAGUUGUGAAAGUUUGCGGCUUAACCGUGAAAUUGCAAUUGAUACUGGCAGCCUUGAGUCCAGUUGAGGUAGGCGGAAUUCGUGGUGUAGCGGUGAAAGGAUUGGAUACCACGAAGAACUCCGAUUGCGAAGGCAGCCUACUAAACUGCAACUGACAUUGAUGAUCGAAGGUGUGGGUAUCAAAAAGGAUUAGAUACCUAGUAGUC